rnacentral:tRNA from 1 species
GUCUAUGUAGAUUAUUUAUAAAUCGUGAUGCUGUUAACUUUAAGAAAGGAUUUAUCCUCGUAGUCG